UCCAUGGUUAAUAACGCAAAU
ensembl:piRNA 21ur-1610 ncRNA